ensembl:snRNA U6 U6 spliceosomal RNA
GUGCUUGCUUUGACAGCACAUAUACUAAAAUGUGAAUGAUACCAAGAAGAUUUUAGCAUGGUCUUUAUGCAAGAAUGAUGUGCAAAUUCGUGAAGCAUUCCGUAUUUUC